ensembl:lncRNA novel transcript
AAGCAAAGGCAGAGCCACAGAGGGGCUGCUGGUCCCCAAAUGUCUCUCCAGCUGCUCUGGAGCUGCUGGGGCUACAGAGCUGGUGAAGGCUGAGAUCAUGAGAUAAACCCCAGGGCUCCCUGGGAGAUCCUGGUUUGUACUGCUGUGUGGUCUUAAUUAUUAAGAAACAAGGCACUUUAUGAAGAGGAAAAGAGCUGAACAAAAGGUGUUCUCUUCAGGAGGUCCAUGUAGAAGGCAGGCAGAACACUGGGCUAAAGACACAGACCCAGGAAGCCCUCAAGUUGCCACAGACCUUAAAUAUUACAAUCCCCCUGCUUGUCAAUCAUUAAUACAAAUCUGAGCAGGUCUUCCCUGCAGGACACAGGCGGCUUUCUGGAAAAAGCAUGGAAAAGUGAGUCUCCUAAAUGUUCUCAAGUGACUGAUUCAGGACACAUCUUAAAAGGAUCAAAGAAGGAUGGAGAAAAACUUCAGAAGGAAAUAACAGUUUGAAUGAAAACACUCAUUUAGCAGAAAGUCCAGAAGUGCUCGACCAAGAAAUUGCAAGAUGGAAGCAGACAGUACAGGAAAGGAAGGAGAGAAAGAAAAGCUGGAAACCUUUGAAUGCACAAAUAAAACAGGUCAUGAAAGAUACCAUGAGCCAAUUAAAAUCUAUGGCUGAAAACCUGCUGGACACCAUGCAGUUGGGAGAUUUCUCUAGGGACCACAGUGACGAGGACUCGAAAGUACAGCUAAAGAGGAAAGCAGAAAAUGAAGACUGCCUGCCCCAGCCCCUCCCGCCCAACUAUCAGUCAGAAGGCCAUCUGAAGAGCGUCCUGGGUGAUGGUGACUUAAAUGUGUUCUGUGAAAGUCAAGAAAAAUCAAGAAAUAGCUUGACAAUUGUGGGAAAAAAAAUCAAUGAAUGAAGAGCUCACAGGACAAAUCAAACAUCUCCAAACUGAGAAAGCGUCUUUGCAGUUUGAAAAUUCCCAACUUGCAGGUGGGAUCCAGAACCUGCAGCUGAAGCUUCAAAUCCUACCUGAAUCACAUCAAGAACACAUAGCGCAACUUCAGAGAAGAUCACCUGCGGUGGAAACACACAGGUUAGAAAUGAAGAAGAAACUUCUGAGCGUGUGUAGAAAUGUGAAUACACACAGCAGAUUCACAGCCUCUACAAGGAGAUGGCUGAAAAUAUCAGCAAAGAAUUGGAAAGAAUCACUUCCUUCUAUCAGAAGGAGAUUCUUGCCUGUGUGGAAAGAGCUCAGGAAAGCUGGAGGGCAGUUCUGUCCACUGAGAGAAAGCUCCGGGAGCUAAGAAAAGAAGAUGAUUGCAGUAGGCAGAUCCUGGCUGACAUGGAGUUCAAGUUCCUGCCUUUUACUAGGGGUUCUUUGCUCCUGCUGCUUCAGGUACAGCCAACAGAGGCCCACAAGGACCAGGGGUCCCCUGAGUCAUCAGGUUCCCAGCAAGGAGAAGUGAGGUGCUGUGAGGCUUAGGGAUUCAGGGCCAGCAGGUUUCACUCAGCUCUCCCAGCAGCAGGGCCCUCAACACCCACAGUCACAGUGAGACACAGCAGCCUGGGCUAUCUCUUUAAAGUUAUCUUGAUUUAUCUCUUUUUAGUUUAGCUACUGUUAUUUAGCUGCUCUUAUUCAAAUAGAUAUAGCAUUAUAAUUUCUGUUUCUGUUUUUCAAGGAAAAUUUUAUUUCAUUCAAUUCUUAUGACUUUUAUUUCCAUGUCUUUGGACCCCCCCUAGAAUUAUAUAGUAUAAAUAUUGUGUUUUAAUUUAAAGGAAAGAUUCACUAUUACUGAAGCCAUAAUUGAAGUUUAACACAGAGAUAUCUGAAGCAAUAAAGGCCAUUUUCUGUAUGCUAUGAACUGUUAUUAGAAAUUUGCAUAAGUAACUUAAUAUUUACCUGAAGAAAUUUCGACUGGUUUUAUACAACAAUAAAAAAUCUUCAACAAAACCA